UACGUAGGGUGCGAGCGUUGUCCGGAAUUAUUGGGCGUAAAGAGCUUGUAGGCGGUUUGUCGCGUCUGCUGUGAAAUCUCAAGGCUCAACCUUGAGCUUGCAGUGGGUACGGGCAGACUAGAGUGUGGUAGGGGAGACUGGAAUUCCUGGUGUAGCGGUGAAAUGCGCAGAUAUCGGGAGGAACACCAGUGGCGAAGGCGGCUUGCUGGGCCGGACCUGACGCUGAGACGCGAAGGCGUGGGGAGCGAACGGG
rnacentral:rRNA from 1 species